rnacentral:tRNA from 1 species
GCCUGGGUGGCUCAGUCGGUUAAGCGUCUGACUUUGGCUCAGGUCAUGAUCUCAUGGUUCGUGGGUUUGAGCCCCGCGUCGGGCU